GAUCAUGGCUCAGGAUGAACGCUAGCUACAGGCUUAACACAUGCAAGUCGAGGGGCAGCAUGGUCUUAGCUUGCUAAGGCUGAUGGCGACCGGCGAACGGGUGAGUAACACAUAUCCAACCUGCCGUCUACUCUUGGCCAGCCUUCUGAAAGGAAGAUUAAUCCAGGAUGGGAUCAUGAGUUCACAUGUCCGCAUGAUUAAAGGUAUUUUCCGGUAGACGACGGGG
rnacentral:rRNA from 1 species